rnacentral:rRNA from 1 species
AACGAACGCUGGCGGCAUGCCUAACACAUGCAAGUCGAACGAGACCUUCGGGUCUAGUGGCGCACGGGUGCGUAACGCGUGGGAACCUGCCCUUAGGUUCGGAAUAACUCCCCGAAAGGGGUGCUAAUACCGGAUAAUGUCUUCGGACCAAAGAUUUAUCGCCUUUGGAUGGGCCCGCGUUGGAUUAGCUAGUUGGUAGGGUAAAAGCCUACCAAGGCGACGAUCCAUAGCUGGUCUGAGAGGAUGAUCAGCCACACUGGGACUGAGACACAGCCCAGACUCCUACGGGAGGCAGCAGUGGGGAAUAUUGGACAAUGGGCGAAAGCCUGAUCCAGCAAUGCCGCGUGAGUGAUGAAGGCCUUAGGGUUGUAAAGCUCUUUUACCCGGGAUGAUAAUGACAGUACCGGGAGAAUGAGCUCCGGCUAACUCCGUG